rnacentral:tRNA from 1 species
GGGGCUGUAGCUCAGUGGUAGAGUGCCCGCCUCGAAUGUGUUAGGCACUGGGUUAGAUUCUCAGCACCA